UCUUCGGCAAUGGACGCAAGUCUGACCGAGCAACGCCGCGUGAGUGAAGAAGGUUUUCGGAUCGUAAAACUCUGUUGUAAGAGAAGAACGUUGAUGAGAGUGGAAAGUUCAUCAAGUGACGGUAUCUUACCAGAAAGCCACGGCUAACUACGUGCCAGCAGCCGCGGUAAUACGUAGGUGGCAAGCGUUGUCCGGAUUUAUUGGGCGUAAAGCGAGCGCAGGCGGUUGAUUAAGUUUGAUGUGAAAGCCCCCGGCUCAACCGGGGAGGGUCAUUGGAAACUGGUCAACUUGAGUGCAGAAGAGGAGAGUGGAAUUCCAUGUGUAGCGGUGAAAUGCGUAGAUAUAUGGAGGAACACCAGUGGCGAAGGCGGCUCUCUGGUCUGUAACUGACGCUAGGCUCGAAG
rnacentral:rRNA from 1 species